CAUAUCCCUUCCAUCAAAAUCUGAAAGUUAGCUUUCUUUUGCUGCCGCGCAAUCAAUCAUUACCACCGAAAGACAAAGCCAAUCGAUAUUACUCCAUUAUGCUCAGUACGUUUAUAAAACACUCCUAGCUCGCUGCUUUAUUCAUCUCCAUCGCCAUCCUUUUUCUCUCUCAAUCUUUCAACCUAAAAUCUCUGUUUUUUCGUUACCAAGAAAUCGUAAUCCAAGUCUCAAGGCCAUCAAAAUCCAGAAACUGAGCGUUAAACCCAUUUGGUGACAUUCCCACAUUUCUCACACUUCUCCCCUAAUAUUACCCCCCAAACCACGAUUUCUUUUCCAAUCUACCCUCGCCAUCCCUCUCUAUCUACCACUCUAUCAACCAUGGACCAAACCAUCAGUUUUAUACGAAGCCCGAAGCGGAACCGGGAGCCAAAAUCCAAAGGCAAAAAUGACGAGUCAAAAUACGACGUUGGUUCAGUUCCAUUUCCACUAGACGAUGUACACAGACACAAUCCUACCGACCGAGCCAAUAGGGAAGCUUGGGUUGAGGUGGUCAAAGCCAGAUGUGAAGUAGCCUCAUUGAACGAUGGGUGCCGAUGGUAUUACAGGGCCUGUUAUUUUGAAG